UGCUUCAGUGAACUGAGUGGGGUGUCCAAGAAGAAACCCUGGUGUUAGGAAGACGUCUAAGAAUGUUCCAAUGAUCCCCGCCUCCUGAUAGUCACACCUUUGGACUCUCUCCUGGCUUUAAUGAAGCAAGCUUCCAUGUUGGACAGGCCCACAGGAGAAGGAACUGAGGAUUGCCUCCAGCCAACUCCAGCCCACAGCCACCAGGAAUUGAGGAUCUCAGUCCAACAGGCCUUGAGGAGCUGCAUCCUGCCAACAGCUAUAUAAGUGAGCUCAGAACUAUGACCUUCUCCAGUUGAGCCUUCAGAUGAGACCCCUGCCCCAGCUGAUACCUUAAUUGCAGCCUUGUGAGAGACCCUGGAGCAGGGAACCCCGGUAGGCCUUGCCUGGACUCCUGACCCAGAAAAACUGUGAGUUAAUAAAUAUGUGUUUUUUUAAGCCA